rnacentral:rRNA from 1 species
UACGUAGGGGGCUAGCGUUGUCCGGAAUCAUUGGGCGUAAAGAGCGCGUAGGCGGCCCGAUAAGUCCGCUGUGAAAGUCCAGGGCUCAACCCUGGAAUGCCAGUGGAAACUGUCGGGCUAGAGUACGGAAGAGGCGAGUGGAAUUCCUGGUGUAGCGGUGGAAUGCGCAGAUAUCAGGAGGAACACCAAUAGCGAAGGCAGCUCGCUGGGACGUUACUGACGCUGAGGCGCGAAAGCGUGGGGAGCAAACAGG